GUGCUCGCUUCGGCAGCACAUACACACUACAUCGGAACGAUACAGGAACGGUUAACAGGGCUCCUGCACACAGAUGAGAUGCCGAUUCGUGAUAUGUCCCCUAUUUUU